rnacentral:rRNA from 1 species
UAUAAAGACAGCUUGUGAGAGGUAGUUUGACUGGGGCGGUCACCUCCCAAAGAGUAACGGAGGUGUACAUAAGGCAAUUUCAAAUAAAAAUUUAUUGUAGAGCGUAAUGGCAUAUAAUUGCUUGACUGUAAGAUAAACAUAUCGAACAGGGAUAUAAUGUCGGUCAUAGUGAUCCGGUGAUUUUGUGUGGAAAAAUCAUCGCUCAACGAAUAAAAGGUACGCCGGGGAUAACAGGCUUAUGGUUUCUGAGAGUCCAUAUCGACGAGACCGUUUGGCACCUCGAUGUCUGCUUAUCACAUCCUGGAGCUGAAGUAGGUUCCAAGGGUUCGGCUGUUCGCCGACUAAAGUGGUACAUGAGCUGGGUUCAGAACGUCGUGAGACAG